rnacentral:rRNA from 1 species
AUUGAACGCUGGCGGCAGGCCUAACACAUGCAAGUCGGGCGAGCCGCGGACGGGUGAGUAAUGUAUGGGGAUCUGCCUGAUGGAGGGGGAUCACUACUGGAAACGGUCGCUAAUCCCGCAUACCAUCAUCUCACCCCAUAUGGGAUUAGCUUGUAGGUAAGGUAACGGCUUACCUAGGCGACGAUCCCUAGCUGGUCUGAGAGGAUGAACAGCCACACGGGGACUGAGACACGGCCCAGACUCCUACGGGAGGCAGCAGUGGGGAAUAUUGCACAAUGGGCGCAAGCCUGAUGCAGUCAUGCCGCGUGUAUGAAGAAGGCCUUAGGGUUGUAAAGUACUUUCAGUCGGGAGGCGUUACCGACAGAAGAAGCACCGGCUAACUCCGUGCCAGCAGCCGCGGUAAUAC